GCUCAACCGGGGAGGGUCAUUGGAAACUGGGGAACUUGAGUGCAGAAGAGGAGAGUGGAAUUCCACGUGUAGCGGUGAAAUGCGUAGAGAUGUGGAGGAACACCAGUGGCGAAGGCGACUCUCUGGUCUGUAACUGACGCUGAGGCGCGAAAGCGUGGGGAGCGAACAGGAUUAGAUACCCUGGUAGUCCACGCCGUAAACGAUGAGUGCUAAGUGUUAGAGGGUUUCCGCCCUUUAGUGCUGCACCAAACGCAUUAAGCACUCCGCCUGGGGAGUACGGUCGCAAGACUGAAACUCAAAGGAAUUGACGGGGGCCCGCACAAGCGGUGGAGCAUGUGGUUUAAUUCGAAGCAACGCGAAGAACCUUACCAGGUCUUGACAUCCUCUGACAACCCUAGAGAUAGGGCUUCCCCUUCGGGGGCAGAGUGACAGGUGGUGCAUGGUUGUCGUCAGCUCGUGUCGUGAGAUGUUGGGUUAAGUCCCGCAACGAGCGCAACCCUUAUUACUAGUUGCCAGCAUUUAGUUGGGCACUCUAGUGAGACUGCCGGUGACAAACCGGAGGAAGGUGGGGAUGACGUCAAAUCAUCAUGCCCCUUAUGACCUGGGCUACACACGUGCUACAAUGGCGUAUACAACG
rnacentral:rRNA from 1 species